rnacentral:sRNA from 1 species
UCUAGGCCUGGUGGCGCAUGCCUGUAAUUCCAGCAGCUUGGGAGGCUGAGGCAGGAGGAUCAUGAGUUCAAGGCCAGCCUCAUCAAUUUAUCGAGGCCCUGAGCAACUUAGCAAGACCCUGUUUCAA